rnacentral:rRNA from 1 species
AUGCUAUGCGCCGCGCCGCGCCCGCCGACCAAUUCCGCGCCCCUACUUAACCCCGGCGAACCCGUCCCAAGAUCCUCAGACCACCGCGCCGAACAACUCUCUCGCCAGCACGCAGCAAACUCCCCAGCCUUCCCUCGCCCCGGAUCCGUAAAUGGCCCGCACGAAGCAGACCGCGCGCAAGUCGACCGGCGGCAAGGCCCCGCGGAAGCAGCUGGCGACCAAGGCGGCGCGCAAGUCGGCGCCGGCGACGGGAGCGUGAAGAAGCCCCACCGCUUCCGCCCCGGCACCGUCGCGCUCCGCGAGAUCCGCAAGUACCAAAAGAGCACGGAGCUGCUCAUCCGCAAGCUGCCCUUCCAGCGCCUCGUCCGGGAGAUCGCGCAUGACUUCAAGACCGACCUCCGCUUCCAGAGCUCCGCCGUCUCCGCCCUGCAGGAGGCCGCCGAGGCCUACCUCGUGGGGCUCUUCGAGGACACCAACCUCUGCGCCAUCCACGUCAAACGCGUCACCAUCAUGCCCAAGGACAUCCAGCUCGCCCGCCGCAUCCGCGGGGAGCGCGCGUAG